rnacentral:rRNA from 1 species
AUUGAACGCUGGCGGCAGGCCUAACACAUGCAAGUCGAGCGGAUGAAGGGAGCUUGCUCCUGGAUUCAGCGGCGGACGGGUGAGUAAUGCCUAGGAAUCUGCCUUGUAGUGGGGGAUAACGUCCGGAAACGGGCGCUAAUACCGCAUACGUCCUGAGGGAGAAAGUGGGGGAUCUUCGGACCUCACGCUAUCAGAUGAGCCUAGGUCGGAUUAGCUAGUUGGUGGGGUAAAGGCCUACCAAGGCGACGAUCCGUAACUGGUCUGAGAGGAUGAUCAGUCACACUGGAACUGAGACACGGUCCAGACUCCUACGGGAGGCAGCAGUGGGGAAUAUUGGACAAUGGGCGAAAGCCUGAUCCAGCCAUGCCGCGUGUGUGAAGAAGGUCUUCGGAUUGUAAAGCACUUUAAGUUGGGAGGAAGGGCAGUAAGUUAAUCCCUUGCUGUUUUGACGUUACCAACAGAAUAAGCACCGGCUAACUUCGUG